UGCCAGGCGACGAGGGAAAGCAAAUUAAUCAACGAUAAGCUCUGAUAGAAACGUGCCAGAUAAAGUGGAGCUGUGACUGAAACAGCUCGGUGAGCACAAUUGCUUUGUUUUAUGGGGGUGUCGCAAUUUCGCAAUUAUUCACCCGAAUUAUCAGACGCCCCCAAAAGGGAAACCACUCUAUUUUUUCUGCCUCCAGCACGGCACCAAGGGAUUCGGUGUUGGGAGUGGGGUAGCCGAAUAAAUUGCAAUUCAUUCAGCCCAUUGGAUAUGCUAAAUUAUGCAAUGUUGCGUAUGCUCGAUGAAACAGUUUUAGAAACUAUUUGCCCUCUUACCCGCUAUGAAAGUCACGCACUGGAGUGAACACUGUAGUCAGUAAUGUACCAGGUGAUAACUCAAUUAACGGAAAACUCGCGGACAACUCCGGCCCACUCAACGAUCAA